UACAGAGGGGGCAAGCGUUAUUCGGAAUUAUUGGGCGUAAAGGGCGCGUAGGCGGCUUUGCAAGUGACGGGUGAAAUCCCUCGGCUUAACCGAGGAACUGCCUGUCAGACUGCAUGGCUUGAGACCGGGAGAGGUGAGUGGAAUUCCCAGUGUAGCGGUGAAAUGCGUAGAUAUUGGGAGGAACACCAGUGGCGAAGGCGGCUCACUGGACCGGUACUGACGCUGAGGAGCGAAAGCGUGGGGAGCGAACAGG
rnacentral:rRNA from 1 species